GCGCUGGUAGCUCAGUUGGAUAGAGUAUCUGGCUACGAACCAGAGGGUCGGGAGUUCGAAUCUUCCCCAGCGCG